GUGCUUGCUUCGGCAGCACAUAUACAAAAAUUGGAACGAUGCAGUGAAGAUUAGCAUGGCCCCUGCACAAGGAUGACACGCAAAUUCGUGAGGCAUUCCAUGUUUUU